rnacentral:rRNA from 1 species
GUACACGCUGUGACUAGCAUAUCAAUAAGCGGAGGAAAAGAGGGCUAUUACCUACGCUUAGGAUGUUGACGAGACUGUCGAUCUCAUCUAUACAUGACUCUGUGCAUAUCAAUAAGCGGAGGAAAAGCGCAUUAAAGAUCCAGAUACCUACGCUUAGGAUGUUGACGAGACUGUCGAUCUCAUCUAUACAUGACUCUGUGCAUAUCAAUAAGCGGAGUCAUGUAUAGACUAUCAUCGAGCACGCGCGUGUGGCAUAUCAAUAAGCGGAGGAAAAGAAACUAACAAGGAUUCCCUUAGUAACGGCGAGUGAAGCGGGAAGAGCUCAAAUUUGAAAUCUUCAAGGUUCUACCUUGACGAAUUGUAGUUUAUAGAAGUGUUUUCUGUUAGUAGAGUGGCAAAAGUUCUUUGGAAUAGGACAUCAUAGAGGGUGAGAAUCCCGUAUUUGGUCAUUCUUCUAGCGUUGUGAUACACUCUCAACGAGUCGGAUUGUUUGGGAAUGCAGUCCAAAAUGGGUGGUAAAUUUCAUCUAAAGCUAAAUAUUGGCGAGAGACCGAUAGCGAACAAGUACCGUGAGGGAAAGAUGAAAAGAACUUUGAAAAGAGAGUUAAACAGUACGUGAAAUUGUCAAAAGGGAAGCGCUUGACACCAGUGUUGUUUUUCCGAAAAUCAAUUACGAAUGUUUUAUUUUUGAGAAGUUAUGACUUCAUCGGCUUGCUUCUCUCUUUACGAAACUUUCUUAAUGCACUUUUCGGUUAACAAGUCAACAUCAAUUUCUUUUGUUGUAAAGGGUAUGAGGAAGGUGGCUUUCUUUUCGGAGAAAGUGUUUAUAGCCUUGUACCUCUGCAAUCGGAGAGAUUGAGGUCUGCAGCGUAGAUCCUUCGGGGUUAGAUACAUUUGUGCUAAGUUAUAGCUUUUCAUAGACAACUUGUUGACUAUGUUAAGUCUUGUAGCUUACUCGCUUAUGCUAUUUUACCUACGCUUAGGAUGUUGAGUAGCGACAUACGCAC